AUUGAACGCUGGCGGCAGGCCUAACACAUGCAAGUCGAACGAGUGGCGGACGGGUGCGUAAUGUCUGGGAAACUGCCUGCUGGAGGGGGAUAACUACUGGAAACGGUAGCUAAUACCGCAUAACAUCAGAUCUGCCCAGAUGGGUUUAGCUAGUUGGUGGGGUAACGGCUCACCAAGGCGACGAUCCCUAGCCGGUCUGCGAGGAUGACCAGCCAAACUGGAACUGAGACACGGUCCAGACUCCUACGGGAGGCAGCAGUGGGGAAUAUUGCACAAUGGGCGCAAGCCUGAUGCAGCCAUGCCGCGGGUAUGAAGAAGGCCUUCGGGUUUUAAAGUACUUUCAGCGGGGAGGCGUUACCCGCAGAAGAAGCACCGGCUAACUCCGUGCCAGCAGCCGCGGUAAUUC
rnacentral:rRNA from 1 species